UUCCUCCUUUUCCUGGGCGGGCGAGGCGCGAGAUGGCGGCGCCCUUAACCGAGGAGUUGGAGCGGCUGCUCAACCCGCUGCCUCGCGCCCAGCACGACCCCGAGGACGACCCCGAGGACGACCCCGAGGACGCCACCGCAGCCAGAGUGGUUGAUAAGUUUGACGAAGGACACCUAGAAGAUGACCUCUUUGCUGUUGGACACAUACGUAAGGGAAUCUCUUCUGAGCUAUCGGAUGCCGAUAAGCGAUAUCUUGGGAAGGCUACGUCUCGCAAAGCCUUGGAGGAAGACAUGUGGGGAGAGGCUCAACUCUCAGAUGGACAAACUUCAAGUGAGGAGGGAACAGAAGGGGAGGUGGAAGAGGAUGACGAAGAGGAGGAUGCUCCCUUCAGUGUUGACAGUAGCCAGGAGGAAGAUCAAAAACCGUUGGAGAAACUGAGGAAAGACGUUUUCAGUUUCCAGGCUAUUGAUGAUUUUGAGAAGUUUGCAGAGGGGAUGGAUGAAAUUAGAGGCACACUGGCGGCAUGGGAGGAGGAGGAGGAGGAGGAAGAAGAUAGUAUGGGAGAAGGCAGCAAAGAUGAGGAAGACGAUGUGGAAGAAGGCAGUGAAGAUGGACCGUCUUCGGAGGAAAGCACCGCAGAGAGCGAAGAGGAGAUGGGGGAUGCUGGGGAGAGUAAAGAAUUUGGGGUGCCGUUGACAUUCUCUAAAGACAAAGUGGCUGAAGAAGCAGAGAAAGGAAAAGCUGUGAAGAAUCAAAUAGCCCUGUGGGAUCAGCUCUUGGAAGGGCGAAUUAAACUGCAGAAGGUCCUCCUGACGGCCAACCAGCUUCCCCAGCCAGACACCUUCCCGGAAUUUAAGAAAAGAGGAGGGCAGGAGUUUGCCGACGUGCUCAAAAACAAUUACAAAGCCCUCAAGGCUUUGCUGAGAACCCUGGUGGAUCUCCAGGAUGAGCUGUUGCACCAGUACCCGGACACGAGGCACCUGGUUGAUGGGCAGCAAGCCAAAGAGGAGAGCAAUGAAGAGGUCUUAAGUGGCAGCCGCAAGGGCGACGAAACCGAGGUGGGAGACAAGGAGAGGAAGAGGGUGCUGGUGAGGCCGCCCAAGCGGAAGCUGGAAAUGGACGACUACCCAGAGUUCGCGGCCAAGCGGUUUGCUGACUUCCGGGCCUAUCGGAACAGCACCUUGCAGAAGUGGCACGACAGGACCAAGUUGGCUUCUGGCAAACUGGGGAAGGGUUUUGGUGCCUUUGAGCGCUCCGUCUUGACUCAGAUUGAUCACAUUCUGAUGGACCAAGAGAGAUUGCUCCGGCGGACACGCACCAAGCGGUUGGCAUACAGGGUGCUGGGGAAGCCACAGCUGGCCCCCAAGCCCCUUCCAGGGGCUUUGCCGGAACAGAUGGAGGCUCUUCCGCCGGCAACAUCCAAUGCGCACCUCAAAGAUCUAGACGAGGAGAUCUUCGAUGACGACGACUUCUACCAUCAGCUCCUCCGGGAACUUAUUGAGCGUAAAACCAGCUCCUUGGAUCCCAAUGACCAGGUGGCGAUGGGCAGGCAAUGGCUCGCCAUCCAGAAAUUGCGGAGCAAAAUCCGGAAGAAGGUGGACAAAAAAGCCAGCAAAGGAAGGAAAAUCCGGUAUCACGUCCACAGCAAGCUGGUGAGCUUCAUGGCCCCGAUUGACCAUUGCACGAUGAAUGAUGAUGCCAGACUCUCCGAGUGGCAGAAUGCGAGGACGGUUAUCCCCAGCAGAAAAUCGAAAGUUUUUUCCCCUCCCCAUUCCCUCUAGGGUGCAGAGAGUAUCUGUGUCAAGCUUCCCACGUCAUUUGGGUGCCGUCUGUUGGAAGUGAACGCGUGGCCCACCAAUAUCGUCUUCUGCCCGUCAGGACCAGUGAUGGUUGGUGUGGAAAGGAGCCAUCUUGAAACUGAUUCCCUCCAACCGAUGGGUCCAGAGCAGCAUGAGAUCUAGCCAUGUAGAAAGGCCUCCUGCACCACUCCAAUAUGAAAUCCAUCCUUACAGGUUUGAAGCUGAAAUUGAAAUCGGCCUUAGGCAAACAGCCUCAGUCCCUCGGUCUGCGAUAUGGACGUUUCUAAUGCUGACGCUACCGUACAGGAUUAUGGGGAGGAUUACAGAGAGAAAUCUACGUGAAGUGCUUCAAAUGCUCCCUCCUAAAACCAUUGAAGCAACAAAAGGUUUAAAUUAAAAGAUGAUAGCAUUUUGAUCUACCAGCUUUUGCAAGCUUUUGCCGCUUUAGAGAUGAAUGUGGGUCAAGGACCCAAAGAUGCGGCUGAUGUGACAGCCCUGGUGUUGUCACAAUGGGAUUGUCGAAGUCGGUUGCCCCAGAGCCGAGAGCACAAAGGGACUCUUCUUUUUUUUCCUGGUGUACCCUUUUUAGCUGGAGCUCGAGUGCAUAGGAUCCAGCAUACUUCGUUUAUUUCGAUGGGACGCUUAGCAUAAUCCUAUCCAUGUCUACUCUGAAUAACAGAUAUCCGCUGCCCAGACUGACUUUCCUGUGGGCAUGGUUUUUAACGUGUGAACAGAGAAACGAAACACCCGAGGAAUCUGGAGAAUGCCCUGUAUCAUCAACAGGUAAAGGAAUCUUUUGUUCUCUUACCUGGCCCCCACUGAGGGGUGUGUGUGUGACAAAAUCAUUUCCGCUGCAAGCCUUCUGGAUAAAGAGUGGACUUAAAUUUUGUGCGUGAAGUGAAGUUGGCCAACACCAGGAAGGCAGACAAGGAAAGAUGACGGCAAUCUGAACCACGUAAGACAGAAGCAGCAAAAGGCCCCAAGGCCUCCCUUUUAAGGGUGGCGCUGCCACCAGCCCCCCCCACUACUACUGGCAAACACUUGACGUUUUGCCUGUGGAAGGUCAAGUAACAGACACACUGGACAAAAAUUUACACACAACAAAAAGCUUGAGAUGAGGGCACUGACAAAGGCCCUUCUCGUUCUCCCCCCACUUGAUUUAAGACCUCAUGGUACCAGGCAGGUACCUUUCAUUAUCUCUUUGCCAGCGCUGUAUAAACAACAGUGACUUUGAAGAAAGCAAGUCCAAUUACACUUUGUUAAAUAAAUAGGUACUAUUAUGCGACAUCCGUAAGUUAAUUGCGGGGGAGCCUGUCUUCUUGAAGUCUUUUGUAACUACUCUGUAAUUUCAAGUCUGAGUUAAAAAAAAUUAGAAGAAAAUAUAAAAAAUCCUUUUCCAGCAGUUCCCCUGCCCCGUGCCAAGAGGUGUGGGAGGUGGAUGGCAGAGCAUCUUUUCCUCUGCUCCAGGCGGCCCCGUUGGCUUACGUUGAAGCGGGAGCGUCCAUUGUGGAAAGGAUGCGCACAAUCUCAGCCCGCUGUGUCGGCGAUAUAUGCUGGGUCAUGUGGACAAUGGAAUCCAUGGCGACCUCUGGAUUGGCCUGGACCAAACUAGAGUGAGAGAGAGAAUGCAGGUCACAUGUUUUAUCACUUUGGCAAGCUGCAUGGGGCAGAGACUUUUCCUUGACAGGAAGCAGGACUGCUCUCUUUCCAGCUCUUAAUCUGUUGUGAUAUUGUUUUAGACUUUUUAAAACGUAAAAGUUUUCAAUAAGCCUGUUUAAGUGGAGAUCUUUAUCCCAGUCUGUAUAUGUAUCGGAUU